GAUGAACGCUGGCGGCGUGCCUAAUACAUGCAAGUCGAGCGAACAGACGAGGAGCUUGCUCCUCUGACGUUAGCGGCGGACGGGUGAGUAACACGUGGAUAACCUACCUAUAAGACUGGGAUAACUUCGGGAAACCGGAGCUAAUACCGGAUAACAUGUUGAACCGCAUGGUUCAACAGUGAAAGACGGUCUUGCUGUCACUUAUAGAUGGAUCCGCGCCGCAUUAGCUAGUUGGUAAGGUAACGGCUUACCAAGGCAACGAUGCGUAGCCGACCUGAGAGGGUGAUCGGCGACACUGGAGCUGAGACACGGUCCAGACUCCUACGGGAGGCAGCAGUAGGGAAUCUUCCGCAAUGGGCGAGAGCCUGACGGAGCAACGCCGCGUGAGUGAAGAAGGUCUUCGGAUCGUAAAGCUCUGUUAUUAGGGAAGAACAAAUGUGUAAGUAACUAUGCACGUCUUGACGGUACCUAAUCAGAAAGCCACGGCUAACUACGUG
rnacentral:rRNA from 1 species